rnacentral:lncRNA from 1 species
GGGAGGCUGAGGCAGGAGAAUCACUUGCACCUGGGAGGCAGAGGUUGCAGUCAGCUGAGAUUGCGCCAUUGCACUCCAGCCUGGGCAACAAGUGUGAAACUGUCUCUCACACACAAAGAGGUGGGAAAGAUCCAGUUGUGGCAGGGCCUGAUGUUUGCCCCGGAUCAGUGUCUGGAUUCUGCUCACUUCUACUGCCUUUGCCUGACAAUGCUUAGAAUGAAAUGCGAUGGAAGGCUCUUGAAGGUGCAUAUAUAUUACAUAUUGGAAGGUACAGAUGCUCAGGUAGAAUAGAGAAGGGUGGGUGAGUG